GGCCCUUCAUCGACCAAGGAGACGCGGCCUAGUGAAAUGAGGGGUGUGGCUAAGGGAGAGAGCGGCUUCCCUGGAGGCCGGGGCGCGCGACCUGAUUAUCUCGGUGUUCCUUGUGAGCUCUGAGUAGGUAUGAUGGAAAUGUUCCCAAACUGGAUCGUGGUGAUGAUUGUGCUGUAAAUUUACUAAAACUCAUUGUACACUUCGGUGAGUUUUGCAGCAUGUAAAUUAUACCUAAGUAAAGUUGUUUUAAAGUA